rnacentral:lncRNA from 13 species
AUGAGCCAGGAGAAUAAAAAUGUGUGCUUUCACAAUUUUUUAAGAACUCUCUCUCUUUUUUUUUUUUUUGAGAUGGAGUCUUGCUUUGUCGCCCAAGCUCUGGAGUGCAGUGGUGCGAUCUUGGCUCUCUGCAACAUCCACCUGUUGAGUUCAGUGUGUAGGCUGAGGAGGACUGAGAAGAGAAAACACUGGUGUUACUGUUUCAGGUGUGGCAGAGGCCGAAGACAACUCAAAUGCUGGAGUGAAGUUGUGAAAACUCAGCUCACUGCAACCUCCGCCUCCUGGGUUCAAGCGAUUCUCCUGCCUCCACCAGCCCAAGUAGCUGGGAUUACAGGCACCCACCACCACAUCCGACUAAUGAAUUCCUGACCACAAGUGAUCUGCCUGCCUCGGUGUCCCAAAGUGCUGGGAUUACAAGUGUGAACCACUGCACCUGGCCUGGAAAUGUUCUUAAGAUAAAUAAUGAAGUGUAAAAUAAAAUUCCUGUAGUUAAGAAUUCUCCA